rnacentral:rRNA from 1 species
GACGAACGCUGGCGGCGUGCUUAACACAUGCAAGUCGAGCGGUAAGGCCCUUCGGGGUACGACGAGCGGCGAACGGGUGAGUAACACGUGGGUGACCUGCCCUUAGCUCUGGGAUAAGCCUGGGAAACUGGGUCUAAUACCGGAUAUGACUCCAUGACGCAUGUUGUGGGGUGGAAAGCCUUGUGCGGCUAGGGAUGGGCCUGCGGCCUAUCAGCUUGUUGGUGGGGUGAUGGCCUACCAAGGCGACGACGGGUAGCCGGCCUGAGAGGGCGACCGGCCACACUGGGACUGAGACACGGCCCAGACUCCUACGGGAGGCAGCAGUGGGGAAUCUUGCGCAAUGGGCGAAAGCCUGACGCAGCGACGCCGCGUGGGGAUGACGG